UGCGUAGGCGGCUCGGUAAGUCACGUGUGAAAGGCCGGGGCUCAACCCCCGGAUCGGCAUGUGAGACUGCCGGACUCGAGCACGGUAGAGGCGAGCGGAAUUCCUGGUGUAGCGGUGGAAUGCGUAGAGAUCAGGAAGAACACCGGUGGCGAAGGCGGCUCGCUGGGCCGUUGCUGACGCUGAGGCACGAAAGCGUGGGGAGCAAACAGGAUUAGAUACCCUGGUAGUCCACGCCCUAAACGAUGGACACUAGGGCGUCGGGGGGAGCGACCCUCCCGGUGCCGUCGCUAACGCAAUAAGUGUCCCGCCUGAGGAGUACGGCCGCAAGGCUAGAA
rnacentral:rRNA from 1 species